rnacentral:rRNA from 1 species
AAGACCUUACCCGAUUAGCUGAGAGGUGGUGCAUGGCCGUCGUCAGUUCGUACUGUGAAGCAUCCUGUUAAGUCAGGCAACGAGCGAGACCCACGUCCACAGUUGCCAGCAUACCCCUCCGGGGUGAUGGGUACACUGUGGAGACCGCCGCUGCUAAAGCGGAGGAAGGAGUGGGCAACGGUAGGUCAGUAUGCCCCGAAUCUCCCGGGCUACACGCGGGCUACAAUGGUUGGUACAAUGGGCAUCUACCCCGAAAGGGGAAGGAAAUCUCUUAAAGCCAAUCGUAGUUCGGAUUGAGGGCUGCAACUCGCCCUCAUGAAGCUGGAAUCCGUAGUAAUCGCGUUUCAACAGAACGCGGUGAAUACGUCCCUGCUCCUU